UCGGGAAUUUUGGGCAAUGGGCGAAAGCCUGACCCAGCAACGCCGCGUGAAGGAUGAAGUAUUUCGGUAUGUAAACUUCGAAAGAAUAGGAAGAAUAAAUGACGGUACUAUUUAUAAGGUCCGGCUAACUACGUGCCAGCAGCCGCGGUAAUACGUAGGGACCAAGCGUUGUUCGGAUUUACUGGGCGUAAAGGGCGCGUAGGCGGCAAUUCAAGUCAUCUGUGAAAUCUCCGGGCUUAACUCGGAACGGUCAGAUGAUACUGCUUUGCUAGAGUGCAGAAGGGGCAAUCGGAAUUCUUGGUGUAGCGGUGAAAUGCGUAGAUAUCAAGAGGAACACCUGAGGUGAAGACGGGUUGCUGGGCUGACACUGACGCUGAGGCGCGAAAGCCAGGGGAGCAAACGGGAUUAGAUACCCGCGUAUUCCCUGAGCGGGCUGGCAAGGCGCAU
rnacentral:rRNA from 1 species